rnacentral:rRNA from 1 species
CCAGACUCCUACGGGAGGCAGCAGUGAGGAAUAUUGGUCAAUGGGCGGAAGCCUGAACCAGCCAAGUCGCGUGAGGGAUUAAGGCCCUAUGGGUCGUAAACCUCUUUUGUCAGGGAGCAAUGGCAUCCACGUGUGGGCGUAUGGAGAGUACCUGAAGAAAAGGCAUCGGCUAACUCCGUGCCAGCAGCCGCGGUAAUACGGAGGAUUCAAGCGUUAUCCGGAUUUAUUGGGUUUAAAGGGUGCGUAGGCGGUCGGAUAAGUUAGAGGUGAAAUCCCGAGGCUCAACUUCGGAAUUGCCUCUGAUACUGUUCGGCUAGAGAGUAGUUGCGGUAGGCGGAAUGUAUGGUGUAGCGGUGAAAUGCUUAGAGAUCAUACAGAACACCGAUUGCGAAGGCAGCUUACCAAGCUACUUCUGACGUUGAGGCACGAAAGCGUGGGGAGCAAACAGGAUUAGAUACCCGUGUAGA